GCGUUGGUGAUAUAGUGGCUAGCUUAGUUGCCUUCCAAGCAGUUGACCCGGGUUCGAUUCCCGGCCAACGCA